GAUGAACGCUGGCGGCGUGCUUAACACAUGCAAGUCGAACGAAGCACUUUUAUUUGAAUUCUUCGGAAGGAAAAUGAUUGUGACUGAGUGGCGGACGGGUGAGUAACGCGUGGAUAACCUGCCUCGCACAGGGGGACAACAGUUGGAAACGACUGCUAAUACCGCAUAAGCGCACAGCUUCGCAUGAAGCAGUGUGAAAAACUCCGGUGGUGUGAGAUGGAUCCGCGUCUGAUUAGGUAGUUGGUGAGGUAAUGGCUCACCAAGCCGACGAUCAGUAGCCGGCCUGAGAGGGUGACCGGCCACAUUGGGACUGAGACACGGCCCAAACUCCUACGGGAGGCAGCAGUGGGGAAUAUUGCACAAUGGGCGAAAGCCUGAUGCAGCGACGCCGCGUGAGCGAAGAAGUAUUUCGGUAUGUAAAGCUCUAUCAGCAGGGAAGAAAAUGACGGUACCUGACUAAGAA
rnacentral:rRNA from 1 species